AUUGAACGCUGGCGGCAGGCUUAACACAUGCAAGUCGAGCGGGGAAGGGUAGCUUGCUUCUCUUGAGAGCGGCGGACGGGUGAGUAAUGCCUAGGAAUCUGCCUAGUGGUGGGGGAUAACGUUCGGAAACGGACGCUAAUACCGCAUACGUCCUACGGGAGAAAGCGGGGGAUCUUCGGACCUCGCGCCAUUAGAUGAGCCUAGGUCGGAUUAGCUAGUUGGUGAGGUAAUGGCUCACAAAGGCGACGAUCCGUAACUGGUCUGAGAGGAUGAUCAGUCACACUGGAACUGAGACACGGUACAGACUCCUACGGGAGGCAGCAGUGGGGAAUAUUGGACAAUGGGCGAAAGCCUGAUCCAGCCAUGCCGCGUGUGUGAAGAAGGUCUUCGGAUUGUAAAGCACUUUAAGUUGGGAGGAAGUGCAGUAACCUAAUACGUUAUUGUUUUGACGUUACCGACAGAAUAAGCACCGGCUAACUUCGUGCCAGCAGCCGCCGUAAAAC
rnacentral:rRNA from 1 species